CCUUACUGCUAUCGGGACGAGACUAAGACAUGCUAGUUGCGCGCUCCCUAGCCACGUUGGGAGCGCAGCGAACGGCUCCGUAACACGUAGUCAAUCUGCCCUUAGGACGGGGAUAACCCCGGGAAACUGGGGCUAAUACCCGAUAGGCGGAAAAGCCUGGAAUGGCCUUCCACCUAAAGGGUCUUAGGAACAUGCUCCUAACGCCGCCUAAGGAUGAGACUGCGGCCGAUCAGGUUGUUGGUGGGGUAACGGCCUACCAAGCCUAUAACCGGUACGGGCCCUGAGAGGGGGAGCCCGGAGAUGGGAACUGAGACAAGGUCCCAGACCCUACGGGGUGCAGCAGUCGCGAAACCUCUACAAUGCACGAAAGUGUGAUAGGGUUAUCCCGAGUGCCGUCCGAUGAGGAUGGCUUUUCCCCGGUGUAAGGAACCGGGGGAAUAAAGGGGGGGCAAGACUGGUGUCAGCCGCCGCGGUAAUACCAGCCCCCUGAGUGGUAGGGACGAUAUUUGGCCUAAAGCGUUCGUAGCCGGCUCAGCAAGUCUUUCGUUAAAUCCGGCGACUUAAUCGUCGGGCCGCGAGAGAUACUACUAGGCUAGAGGACGGGAGAGGUCGACGGUAUUCCGGGGGUAGGGGUAAAAUCCUAUAAUCCUCGGAGGACCACCAGUGGCGAAGGCGGUCGACUAGAACGUGCCUGACGGUGAUGGACGAAAGCUGGGGGAGCAAACCGGAUUAGACACCCGGGUAGUCCCAGCCGUAAACGAUGCGGGCUAGGUGUUGGGUCAGCCACGAGCUGCUCCAGUGCCGCAGAGAAGUCCUUAAGCCCGCCGCCUGGGAAGUACGGUCGCAAGGCUGAAACUUAAAGGAAUUGGCGGGGGAGCACCACAAGGGGUGAAGCCUGCGGUUCA
rnacentral:rRNA from 1 species